GGCCCGGUAGCUCAGUUGGUUAGAGCACCAGCCUGUCACGCUGGGGGUCGUCGGUUCGAGCCCGAUCCGGGGCGCCA
rnacentral:tRNA from 2 species